rnacentral:rRNA from 1 species
GAUGAACGCUGGCGGCGUGCUUAACACAUGCAAGUCGAACGAUUAAGACCCCUUCGGGGGUGUAUAGAGUGGCGAACGGGUGAGUAACACGUGGGCAACCUGCCCCUUCCUCUGGGAUAACACGGAGAAAUCCGUGCUAAUACCGGAUACUCCAUAUCUGCGGCAUCGCGGAUAUGGGAAAGCUCCGACGGGAAGGGAUGGGCCCGCGGUCCAUUAGCUAGUCGGUGGGGUAACGGCCUACCGAGGCGACGAUGGAUAGCCGGGUUGAGAGACCGACCGGCCACAUAGGGACUGAGACACGGCCCAGACUCCUACGGGAGGCAGCAGUGGGGAAUUUUGCGCAAUGGGGGAAACCCUGACGCAGCAACGCCGCGUGCGGGAUGAAGGCCUUCGGGUUGUAGCCGCUUUCAGCAGGGAAGAAUACAGACGGUACCUGCAGAAGAAGCUCCGGCUAACUACGUGCCAGCCGCCGCCGUAA